GCGACCAUUGGCCUGGAGGGGCCUGGCCGUGAUGGGUCGGAAGCUCGGCUGUUGGCGGGGCUGAGAAGGCCUGAGCAGAGCUGAGCCAGGCGGGUUGCCGGCCAAUGGUUGCAGCUGCCAAGAAGUCUGGUAGGUGAUGUGGCGCUUCACCCUGGAAGACGGAAGAGGAGCCAGCUACGAUAGUCGCACUCUUACUUCUUUCACUGUUUGUGUUGGCGAUGGCGGGCUGGCCUUCCUGCAGCAGCUCUUCAGUUACUUGGUGUCAUGUGAUGCUAUUCCUGGGGAGACAUGGACGUUAGUUCACAUCUACUCACCUCAGAUAAGGAGUCUAUGACAGUCUAAACUUAAGACUCUAAAGUAAGGAUCCCACUUAAGUCCAACUUGGAAACUGCUGGUCUGCGCUCUGCCUUUACUGUCAGCCUCUGCGUUGGCCUCUCUGAGGCUGAAGUUUGCUCUGCCUGCCAGCACUUCGUUCUCAUCAUGUGAACAUCCCAGGACUACAUGAAAUGGAGGACUGCCUAAGGCGUGUAAUACUGUUUGGAGUUCAUCAAGUGCUGAUUCCCAGGCAGUGCCCGGAUGCCACCUCUCUCCAGCCUCAGGUGAAAUCUUUGCUGCCCUAAACACUCGUGGCCCUUUAAGCUGGCAAGGACAGGUUGAAAUUACUCUGACCUUGCCACAAUAAAUCAGGUGACUGUCCCUGA